rnacentral:tRNA from 1 species
ACCUGACUGGCUCUAUCGGGGGAGCAUAUGACUCUUGAUCUUGGGGUCAUGGGUUAGAGCCCCACGUUAGGUG